UGGAAGAGAUUGUGUUAGACACUGGGAAUAAUAGAAACAUAAUUAAGAAGCAGGGGUCCCGGACCUGAAGGGCCUGAGCGUCGGGUUCUUUCAAACUGGGAAAGCUCAUUAAAAGAAAAAUGUGAAAAUCUAUUGGCUGGAUCCUGAACCCUUGGAAGCUCUGUCUGGAUACAUUCUUCUCUGGCAGGAUGCUCUAUGUGGCUCUUUCCAUGUGUAGUUUCCAAUGAAACAGGAAGGACUCUAAUUGAAUGCCUGCCCACAUCUCUACAGCUCCACACCUUCCACUAAGGGCACAAUAAGACCUCCACUGUGAGAGGCUCCACAGUGUACUACGUUGGUGAUGGAGUCUUGCUAUGUUGCCCAGGCUGGUCUUGAAUUCAUGAGCUCAAGUGACCCUCCCACCUCAGCCUCCUGAGUAGCUGGGAUUAUGAACACACACCAUCGUGCCUGGCCAAUGGUUCACAAUCUUGAUUUUCAUAAUAGCUUCAUAGGUGUAUACAUAGGCUGAAAUUUAUCAGGUUGUAUACUUUAAAAAUGCGAAUUUCCCACAUGUUAAUCAUAUCUCAAUAAAGCUGUUCCCCUUACUUAGAUUCUUGCAAUAAUACACUGGCCUUGUGGCCAACUGCAG